GAUGAACGCUGGCGGCGUGCCUAAUACAUGCAAGUCGAGCGAACAGACGAGGAGCUUGCUCCUCUGACGUUAGCGGCGGACGGGUGAGUAACACGUGGAUAACCUACCUAUAAGACUGGGAUAACUUCGGGAAACCGGAGCUAAUACCGGAUAAUAUAUUGAACCGCAUGGUUCAAUAGUGAAAGACGGGUUUGCUGUCACUUAUAGAUGGAUCCGCGCCGCAUUAGCUAGUUGGUUAGGUAACGGCUUACCAAGGCAACGAUGGGUAGCCGACCCGAGAGGGUCAUCGGCCACACUGGAACUGAGACACGGUCCAGACUCCUACGGGAGGCAGCAGUAGGGAAUCUUCCGCAAUGGGCGAAAGCAUGACGUUGCAACGCGGCGUGAGUGCUGAAGGUCUUCUGAUCGUAAAGCUCUGUUAUUAGUGGAGUACAAAUGUGUAAGUAACUAUGCACGUCUUGACGGUACCUAAUCAGAAAGCCACGGCUAACUACGUG
rnacentral:rRNA from 1 species